UCACGGUAGUUUGUUUGAAGCCGAGCCGCAAAGUGCGGUCUGCGCGCCGAUUGGCGGAGCUCCGCCACGUGAUCGCCGAGUGGCCCCACCCACAGCCUCCUUAGUUACCUGGGCUCCCCCGGCGCCCAGAGAGCCUCAGGGAUUGAGUCCGUCCCUUUUAGGAGUAUUGGGAAUGGGGCAUUUAUAGUUAGUCUAAUAAACUGGGAAGAGAGAGACGAUGGAUUCAAGUACGAGCCAAUUCUCCCUUCUCGGUCGGCAAGAAGGGCUAUCUGUGGGCCCCAGUUUCACAGGCCUUCGGGAAGCCGGCCUCAGUGCGCAGGCGCCGGAGGGGAGGUCGUGGGAAGGAACGCUGGCGCGCGGGCUCAGCUCCCCGUGCCACUGCGCAGGCGCGAGUCUUUGCGACGUCUCUGGGCUCGCGGCCCCCGGAGGCCCGUCUCUGCUGCGCGGUUUUUCUAGAUCAGCUCUUUCUGUGUCGCUUUCUUUAGAUCAUCUGUUCCUUGAGGGGCCGGGGUCUCCACGGUCCCCAGGACGUGCCCUCCCUCUCGCAGACUCCUGGGCCGGCCGAUCUCUCCUUCCCUGAAGUGAAGCGGGAAGCACGCCCACCCUCUCCAGCCCGUUUUUAACUGGUUGCUCACCUAAGCACCUUUUUAAAGUGGAAAAAGGGCAUCACGCUGGGAGGCUGAGCCGGGAACCCCGGAACCAGUGAGCUCACCUGUUACCCCAUUUCUUUAAUGAAGAAGAAAAUUAGGUUUUUUUAGAAAAUUCUUUUAAUGUUUAUUUUUGAAAGAGAGAGAGAGGGGGAGACACAAUCCGAAGCAGGCUCCAGGUUCUAAACUGUCAGCACGGAGACCAACGUGGGGCUGGAACUCGCCAACCGGGAGAUAAUGACCUGAGUCAGGGUAUAAUGAGCUGAAGUCAGAGGCUUAGCCGACUUACGACCCAGGCGCCAUAAAAAUUACAUUUAGAAGAAGGAAUUGCGUGAGGUUACAAGUUUUUAAUCAGAAUUGUCAGCCGGAACUCUUGGAAAGAAGGAAAUGUUGGAGGACUCUGCAUCCAAAAGAUAGGAAACAGAUCAAAUGUCCCUCAUUUGAAGGGCCUGGCUAAACUAUGGCCCCUCGCAUGGUGUAAUAGUGAACUACAACAAAGAAUGAGCCAGCUCUUUAUAGAGGAAGUGAAUUUUGAAAACCACCAGUCAGACCAUGUACCUCCUGAUCUCAAUAACUAGCGUCUUCCUUUCUCAUUCAAGAAAGUCUGAGUCCUAGAGUGGCUUAUAAAGUCCCCUGCAGUUUGGCCCAGUUCACUGAUUUUCACAGAUGCUCCUUCUGUUUCGUCUUCCUCUUCUCAAACAGGCUGGGCACCCUCUGUUUCAGGGCCUUGUCACCUGCUGUUCCCUCUGCCUGGAAUGCCCUGCCUCAGACUACUAUGGCUCUCUUCUUUUGGGGCUUUGCGUCUUUGCGCAGAUUUCACCCUCUCAAUUAGGGCCUGUCCUGACCUUUCAGGUUAAAAUUGCAACUCCCCAUCUCUGUUCUCUGCCUUUUUUUCCCCUCGUGGUGUCUAUUGAAUAUGUAACUAUAUUGAAUAUAAAGCUAUACAUUCAUUAGGCAACUCAGAAAGAAUUCAUGAGAAAAUGGUGCCAGCAGUUGCCUCUGUGGAGAACAACUAGCAGCAGGGUGAGAUUAAAAUUUAUCCUUUUCUUUUUUUCCUCACUCCUAUCUGCAUUACAAAAAAAAAAAAAAAAAAAAAAUUAACAUCAGCCCCUGAGUUUAUGGCACAGACAUGUACUGAGCACCUGUGCUGUGCCAGGCAUUAUGUUAGGCCUUGGGGUAGAGAGACCGCAGACAGGACAUGUAGGGUAAAGACUCUGGGUAGUAGUUUAGAGGAGAGAAGGCACCCAAAUCAUCCUGGCAAGGGAAAGGGGAAGUUGCAGGCAGGGGACAGCACAGUCCAGGGCAGGUGGACUUACUAGAAUGUGACGGUCCCCCAGGGCCUGCUAAGUGGCAGUGAUGGACACAUGGAGAAUGGCCAAUGCCAAUUAGAGAAAAGAGACAAAAUACAAAAAAAAAAGGGCAAACUGCAGGGGAUCAUUUGAUGUCAAGCUGAGUUUGGCCAUUAUCCAAGGAGAUGCUGAAAGGUCUUUCGAAGGGAAUGACGGGAUGAGAUCUGAACAUAACUCGUGAACUUUCUCCCAUGAGAAUUAAAGCUGCACGAAGCCAGAGGUGACGAACUGGUGGCCUACAGAUGUUUGCUUUGGACCAGGUUUGUUUGUUUGUUUGUUUUGUUUUGUUUUUUAAUUGGCCCACAUAAGAACAUGGAGGAACAAGAAUUCGAUAGGAAAACCAUUUGGCAGUAUCUCUUAAAGGUGCUGGGGAGACAGCAGUGAACACAGGAGCCAAGCCGUCUGUCCUCACGGGGUUUUCGUUCUACAGGAAGUACAAUAAAGAAUUAUUGUUCUGAUGCUCUUGAAAAUGUGUUUCAUCUUCAAGGAGAUUCAUGAAAAGGACUUUUUGACAAACACCAGGUUUCUGAUGUCCUUGAGUUUAUAAAACUAAGCUGAGGAAGAAUUUCUAGAACUAGUGGGGAAGCUCCAUUCAAACAGAACAAGAAUUAAUAAUAUGGGACUGAAUGAAUUAAGGAAGAGGAUUAUGGUUUUUAUGGCUCUUCUCUGAAACAUUACUGGUUCUCUAAUAUUUGCUCUUCCAGAUUUAAGGAAGCCUUUUCUCUUAAGGUAUGUAUGACUUACAGAAAUAUGAUAAAAUACACCUUUGUGAACAAAUUGAAAGCAUUUAUCGUUUCUCUCUCCCUGCACUCUCCAAAGUCCAGAAACUCUCAGUGAGUUUUCUUUCUUUCCUGGCAGUUAUAAUUGUUAGCAUAAGUUCAAUAAAAAUCUGUUCUUCUUGGAACAGCACACCAUUAGAAACGUUGGUUAUUUUAUGAAGGCUUUGACUAGAAUGUCAUAUUUCAAAGAGACAUGUAUAGACUCAGAUAUGACCGGGCAGCUUUAAGGAACUGAGGUUGACUUUAUGAAGCAUGGAGCCAUAAAGCCCCUUGGAAAUUGGCCUGAGACCUUGCUUACAGAGUUCCCAGCAGCCUUACCAGAUGAGUAAAGAAAGUGACUUCCUGGCAGGUGCAGGAACUUCAGAAUAUUUUGGGGACCUCAAGAGGAUGAAUUCACCCAAAUCUACAGGUAUUGCAGGCGAAUCUGAGAGCAAGAAUUUAGUUUGGCUUCUGGCCUUGAAACGCUAUUAAAAGUUCAACCUAAAAUUCCUUAUAAAAAAGUUCCAACAAAGCAGAUUUUAAAAACCUUGUAUGGUCAAUCACUAUUCUUGCUCUGCUUAUGUAAGUAAUUAGGCCAAGUUUAUUAAAACUGGACUUGUUUUGCAAACAAAUUAGUAUUAAUUUGGCUAUCUUUGGGAAAAACGAGAGUAAUUAUAGAAAGAAAAUAUUUCAAUAACAUAUCUUUGUAGAUAUUGGAUUUUAAUACUAUUCAUUAUAAACUGGACUCAAUUCUGAUUUCUUCUAGUGUCUGCCAAUUCCCAGCCAAAACUCUUCAAACUAACAUUUUGAUUUUUCUCCCAUCUUUCUGACGUGGAAUCAUUUGAGAACUAAAACUGUCCUUUUCCCUGAAGUCCUGCAAACUGAAAUAAAUAAAUAAAUAAAUAAAUAAAUAAAUAAAUAAAUAAACGAUGCAAAGAAAUCCCUGCAACAGCUCAUGAAUAGACAAAAUCUUUGUGCCUAAUUGCUCAAUGGGUCACUCAAAGAGCAUCAGAGACAUUUGAGCUACAACGAGGAUAAAAAGUAGAUAAAACAUCAGGGUAGAUUGCUUUCCCAAGAUUUGGG